UCAGUACCUCGCUAGGUGAGGCUCCUGCGCGAACACAGGCCACUGAUCCGACGACGUCGAGAGACGCCCAGGGUUAGGACAGAUCCUCCCGGAUUAAGGGUUGAUCCGAAGUGGCUUCCCGGACACGGGAUCACGUCGCGCAGUGCCGAAGCCCGACGAGAGGGGUGCGAG
rnacentral:sRNA from 2 species